GCAAAACUAAGUAAAUUACUGAUGAAAAAUUUAAGAGAAUUUAUGUAGAAAAACAUUGAAUAUUAAUUAAAUUAUGUAAUAAAUAAGAAAUGGCAGUACCUAAAUUAAAUUGGAAAUAAUAAAUACUUAGUACAUUAAUAUUACAUAUGCGUUACAUGGAAUUUUGCUGUAGGAAAAAGCUGAUUUUAGUGCUUACUGCUCUAACUGGAUAAAAGGCGCACAUUAUCGUAUUAGAUAAGCAAAUCGAAUGCAUUGAUUUUCCAUAACAAGUACUUUAAACUUAAAUUGGCUGUUUAGCUUUUCUCAGAGGUAUAUAAUACACACACAGACAUACGUACAUAUAAUUACAAUAUAAUGAACGAAUAUUAAGAAUAAAUAGUAUUUUUUGGACAACCUUAGCGGAUACAGUUGAACAGUGAGAAGGGCAGAGGAAGAGUAUUUUAAUUUAAUUAUGUGAAAUGAUAUUUUUUUGUGUCAAUUGAAUUAGUUUAUGCUUGAGUCUAGUUAAAGAAUAAAAUGAAAUAAAAUAAUUUUUUAAAUUACUUACAUAUGUAUUUAGGCAACACAUGUGAGACGUAACAAUAAUAAAUUGAUUUAACAGUUUAACAAACAUGUAAAUAUUUUACGAAAUAAAAUAAGUUAGCAGAGUUAAUAACAAAAUUUAACCUCAUUAGAAAAAAUUAUCAACUUUAAUGAAAAAUACAUACUUAGCACAUACAUACUUUCGAAUGAGAACUUUAAUAGCGUUUGCCAACAAAGCACAAGUAAACCAUACUUAAAAAACAUAGAAAAUUGCUUUGUAUGUAUAUCAGGAACAGUCAGCCAUUCACUAAAUAGAAAACUGCUAGUGAAUUUAGCAAAACUUUCAUGCUCGCCUAUAUAUAUUUGUAUAUUUUUUAGUUUACAAUCGGGUUAAUGAACACCAUCAACGUCAUAUAAUUGAAAUACAAUUAUUUUUACUUAACGUAAGAUAAUCUUAGCCCUGUCGCAGCCUAAUACUAAGCGCAUAUUUACAGCAGAUACAACAAGCCCACAUCCAUACAACGAAUACUUACUUUUGUACAUAUAUAUUACAUUGUUCUUGAUCAUACAUUUGUAUGUGUUUUCGUAACAAUCUUACGCCACUUAAAUGCACAGCCAUCGUAGGAUCUAUUGAUUAUGAAUUGCCGAUAUAAAAGGUAUAUAUAUAUUUUUUUUAUUAAAAGCUUAGCAUUAAGCAACUCAUAUAAUUCUGUUUUAAUCGAAUCAACCAAUCGAUCUUAGCUGCUGUUUGUAUGAAGAAAAUUAGCUGGUUUGAAUUAAAAGCAUUAAGUAAAUUAUCAAAAUUGUAAAAAAUGAGUUUAGUUAUACACCCCUACUGCGAGUGUCGACUACCGUAAAUGCAAAUGGAAAUAAGUUAGAAAUCACUUUUUUAUUUUUAAAUGUCCCUAUUUGGCUGCAUAUAAAAACAAGAAUCAGUGAAAAUACCUAUAAAUUAAACGGAAAUGAUACUAAUUUCAAACUUGUUUCGUAAACACGCAGCCUAUUUCGCCACCGUAUGUGGCCAACCUUGACUUUUGGCGAUAUAAGAGUUUAAAAUGCUUUAUUUAAAAAAAAAAACUCCAUCGAAACCUUGUUAUUGCUUACAUAUGCACAAGGUGGAAAAUCCACCUUUUUCAAACGCGUACUAAUUCUAAGUAUGAAAUUAUUGAUAUUUUCACAGUUUGACAAAAGUUGAAACAAUAUUUUGCAGUGAUUUGCUAUAAAAAGUCUCAGUAAAGUUUUCCUCUCCAUACGCUUAAUAUGUGCUUAGAAAGGUUUUAUGGUGUUUUAUGGCAAAUGAGAAAGUUUGAGCUAAUAUACUUUCAAAGAAUAUUUAUGAUUUGUGCAUAUGUAUUUGUAAUUUGUAACGCUACCCAGCCAGCAUCAGUAAUCAUAAAUUUUCGUAUCCGGAAAACAUUCGAAACGUUCGAAAAAGAUGAUGUCAUUUGAGAGCAACAAUUGUAUUUUAUUUGCUCAAGCUAAACAUUUGAAAGCAUGCAUGCGUAUUCGGUAGUGGCUGAGCGUGCAGAGUGUGCCGCUAUUUGUUAGCUUCCAGAAGGUGCCGGGUUCGAAUUCCGUCAGGCGCUUCCUAGUUUUAUUUCAUUUCUUUUGAACCAUGAAAAAGUAUCUGUAGUGCAGAAGGAAAACGUAUUGAA